rnacentral:snRNA from 1 species
AUCACUACUCAGCCUUUUGACUAAGAUCAAGCACAGUAUCUGUUCUUAUCAGUUUAAUAUGUGAUACGUCCUCUAUCAAAGGACAUUAUAUUAAAUGUAUUUUUGUAGCAGGAAAAUGGAACAGGAGCUUGCUCCAUCCACUCCACGCAUUGUCCACGCCACACAUCAAGUUGGUAUUACAGUACCUCUG